rnacentral:rRNA from 1 species
GUGCCAGCAGCCGCGGUAAUACGUAGGUGGCAAGCGUUGUCCGGAUUUAUUGGGCGUAAAGCGAGCGCAGGCGGUUUUGUAAGUCUGCUGUGAAAGCCCUCAGCUCAACUGAGGAAGUGCUUUGGAAACUGUCGAACUUGAGUGCAGUAGAGGUAAGUGGAACUCCAUGUGUAGCGGUGGAAUGCGUAGAUAUAUGGAAGAACACCAGUGGCGAAGGCGGCUUACUGGACUGCAACUGACGUUGAGGCUCGAAAGUGUGGGUAGCAAACAGGAUUAGAUACCCUGGUAGUCCAUGCCGUAAACGAUGAAUACUAGGUGUUGGAGGGUUUCCGCCCUUCAGUGCCGCAGCUAACGCAUUAAGUAUUCCGCCUGGGGAGUACGACCGCAAGGUUGAAACUCAAAGGAAUUGACGGGGGCCCGCACAAGUGGUGGAGCAUGUGGUUUAA